rnacentral:rRNA from 1 species
GAUGAACGCUGGCGGCGUGCCUAAUACAUGCAAGUCGAACGAACAGACGAGGUCCUUUCUCCUCUGUCGUUAGGGGCGGCGGGGGGGGUAAUACGUGGAUAACAACCUUAUACGUCUGGGUUAACUUCGGGAAGCCGGGGUUACUACCAGGGAAUAUUUUGAACCGCUCGGAUGAUUGGUGAAGGACGGUUUUUCUGUCACUUGGAGAUGGGUCCGCGCCGUCUUAGCUAGUUGGUAGGGUAACGGCGUACCAAGGCAACGAUGCGUAGCCGACCUGAGAGGGUGGUCGGCGACAAUGGAACUAAUACGCGGCCCAGACUACUACGGGAGGCAGCAGUAGGGAAUCUUACGCCAUGGGCGAAAGCCUGCUGGAGCAGCGCCGCGUGAGGGAUGAAGGUCUUCGGAUCGUAAAACUCUGUUAUUAGGGAAGAACAAAUGUGUAAGUAACUAUGCACGUCUUGACGGUAGCUAAUCAGAAAGCCACGGCUAACUACGUG